ACAGAUGGGGGUUGGAGUUUCCUCCGCUCUCCGGUGUGGCCCGCGCAGGGACCCGGCGGCCCUCGGAGGACUCUGCAGGGCGGGGUCACGGGCCCAGAGCCGCGAUUUUCCUAAUGCAUUUUGCCCUGGAAAUAACGGAGACGGACUUUGGUUGCCGCCCUGGAGUUUGGAACCCGAGCGCGGGGCGGGGCGGGACCGGGCAGGGCGACCCGCGCAGGUAACCAGAUCCCCGGUGGUGGCGGCGCAAGCCGAGGAUGGCGGGGCCGGGGCCGGCCGGACUCUCGAAACGGCUGGCGGAGCCGGCCGGGCGCGGGUACCGGAAACCGUGGAGACCUCAGAGGGGCGGGGGCAAGGGCGUCCCGCUCACCUUUGACGUCGGCACUAGUUACCCCACCCCACGUUAACCCUUCUCCUGCCGGGGCAGCACCCGGCGCAAAGGGGAGGGGCG
rnacentral:lncRNA from 10 species